GGAGCAAUACCUUCGGACUCAUAAUCCGUCGGCCGUGGGUUCGAGUCCCACCCGCCCCA
rnacentral:tRNA from 1 species